rnacentral:rRNA from 1 species
GACGAACGCUGGCGGCGUGCUUAACACAUGCAAGUCGAACGAAGUGGCGAACGGGUGAGUAAUACGUGGGUAACCUGCCCUCCUUUUUGGGAUAAGCCUUGGAAACGGGGUCUAAUACCGAAUAAUGGGGGCUGGGCUCGCGGCCUAUCAGCUUGUUGGUGGGUUGAUGGCCUACCAAGGCGGUGACGGGUCGCCGGCCUGAGAGGGUGACCGGACACGUGGGGAGGGAGAGACGGCGAAGACACCUACGGGAGGCAGCAGUGGGGGAUAUGGCACAAGGGGCGAAAGCCUGAUGCAGCGACGCCGCGUGGGGGAUGAAGGCUUUCGGGUUGUAAACCUGUUUCGAUAAUGAACGGGUAGGUGGAGAAGAAGCGCCGGCUAACUACGUGCCAGCAGCCGCAGUAAUAC